CCAGAAGGAUGUCAACGUCACUUGG
rnacentral:piRNA from 1 species